CCUACGGGAGGCAGCAGUAGGGAAUAUUGCUCAAUGGGGGAAACCCUGAAGCAGCAACGCCGCGUGGAGGAUGAAGGUUUUCGGAUUGUUAAAUCCUUUUGUUAGAGAAGAAAAUGACGGUAUCUAACGAAUUAGCACCGGCUCACUCCAUGCCAGCAGCCGCGGUACUAAGGAGGGUGCAAGCGUUACUCGGAAUCACUGGGCGUAAAGAGCGCGGAGGAGGGAUAGAAAGUCAGAGGUGAAAUCCUAUGGCUGAACCAUAGAACUGCAUUGGAAACUGUUAUUCUAGAGUAUGGGAGAGGUAGGUGGAAUUCUGGGUGUAGGGGUGAAAUGCGUAGAUAUGAAGAGGAAGA
rnacentral:rRNA from 1 species